UACGGAGGGUGCUAGCGUUGUUCGGAAUCACUGGGCGUAAAGGGCGUGUAGGCGGUCUGUUAAGUCUGAUGUGAAAUCCCCUCGCUUAACGAGGGAACUGCGUCGGAUACUGGCAGACUUGAGUACCGGAGAGGAAGGUGGAAUUCCUGGUGUAGAGGUGAAAUUCGUAGAUAUCAGGAGGAACACCAGUGGCGAAGGCGGCUUUCUGGACGGUAACUGACGCUGAGACGCGAAAGCGUGGGGAGCAAACAGG
rnacentral:rRNA from 1 species